rnacentral:rRNA from 1 species
GUGCCAGCCGCCGCGGUAAUACGGAGGGUGCAAACGUUGCUCGGAAUCAUUGGGCGUAAAGCGCGUGUAGGCGGCUUGUUAAGUCGAGUGUGAAAGCCCAGGGCUUAACCCUGGAAGUGCGCUCGAAACUGGCGAGCUUGAGUACGGGAGAGGGUAGUGGAAUUCCCGGUGUAGAGGUGAAAUUCGUAGAUAUCGGGAGGAACACCAGUGGCGAAGGCGGCUACCUGGACCGAUACUGACGCUGAGACGCGAAAGCGUGGGUAGCAAACAGGAUUAGAAACCCCCGUAGUCC